GAUGAACGCUGGCGGCGUGCCUAAUACAUGCCAGUCGAGCGAACGGACGAGAAGCUUGCUUCUCUGAUGUUAGCGGCGGACGGGUGAGUAACACGUGGAUAACCUACCUAUAAGACUGGGAUAGCUUCGGGAAACCGGAGCUAAUACCGGAUAAUAUUUUGAACCGCAUGGUUCAAAAGUGAAAGACGGUCUUGCUGUCACUUAUAGAUGGAUCCGCGCUGCAUUAGCUAGUUGGUAAGGUAACGGCUUACCAAGGCAACGAUGCAUAGCCGACCUGAGAGGGUGAUCGGCCACACUGGAACUGAGACACGGUCCAGACUCCUACGGGAGGCAGCAGUAGGGAAUCUUCCGCAAUGGGCGAAAGCCUGACGGAGCAACGCCGCGUGAGUGAUGAAGGUCUUCGGAUCGUAAAACUCUGUUAUUAGGGAAGAACAUAUGUGUAAGUAACUGUGCACAUCUUGACGGUACCUAAUCAGAAAGCCACGGCUAACUACGUG
rnacentral:rRNA from 1 species